GAUGAACGCUGGCGGCGUGCUUAACACAUGCAAGUCGAACGGAAAGGCCCAAGCUUGCUUGGGUACUCGAGUGGCGAACGGGUGAGUAACACGUGGGUGAUCUGCCCUGCACUUCGGGAUAAGCCUGGGAAACUGGGUCUAAUACCGGAUAGGACCACGUCUUGGAUGUUGUGGUGGAAAGUUUUUUCGGUGUGGGAUGAGCUCGCGGCCUAUCAGCUUGUUGGUGGGGUAAUGGCCUACCAAGGCGUCGACGGGUAGCCGGCCUGAGAGGGUGUACGGCCACAUUGGGAUUGAGAUACGGCCCAGACUCCUACGGGAGGCAGCAGUGGGGAAUAUUGCACAAUGGGCGCAAGCCUGAGGCAGCGACGCCGCGUGGGGGAUGACGGCCUUCGGGUUGUAAACUCCUUUCGCUAGGGACGAAGCGUUUUUGUGACGGUACCUGGAGAAGAAGCACCGGCUAACUACGUG
rnacentral:rRNA from 1 species